UUCCUGGUAGAACCCAUACAUGCUGAAGACCCACCGGCGGGUACACACAGCAGAACAAAUCUUCGAAUGCUCAGAGUGUGGCAAGAACUGCAGCUGCUACGAGGUCUGGCUCCCAACUACCGAGUGCAGUCUGACGAGAGGCGCUUUACCUGCUCUAACUGUGGCAAGAGCUUAAAGACAGCAUAUGACGUGAAGAUCCACUAGCGAGUGCACAGCGGUGAGCGGUCCUUCACCUGCUCCGACUGCAGCAAAGGCUUCAAUUCAUCGCUGGAACUAAAGGUGCACAGGCACCUGCACACCGGGGAGUGGCCCUUCACCUGCAGCGACUGUGGCAAGGGCUUCACCCACCCCCAACAGCCUGCUGGUGCACCAGUGCACCCACACCGGCGAGCGCCCCUCCACCCUGCGACCAGUGCGGCAAGGACUUCAUCCACUGCAACAGUCUGCUGUACCUCCGCUGGCGACCGUCGCUUCCCCAGCCCGGUGUGUGGAUAGCGCUUUGCCAUGGCCUCCCAUGCCCUGUCUCACCAGCACAUGCACACAAUUGGCCAGCCCUACAACUGCCCGUUUGACAGCUGAAGGGGGUUGCGGGAGCACUGGUGGGCCCAUGCAAGCUUUUCAAGAGCGCACGGGGGCUGCGGGAACACCAGCGGAUACAAAGACCAUGAUGGAGAAGGGUUUAGGAGCCGUUGCUGUGGACGGAGAGACGGGGACGUGAGCGGCCUUUGAGGGCGGCCAGGGUGCCGGUGAGCGCCCCCCCUCUGCUCUGUGUGCGGACUGAUAUUUGAGGGGCUGAGCUUCGAUGGAGGAUGGAUGUGUGUGGCAAGGCGCCCGAGCCUGCUGAAGACCCACCAGCGGGUGCACACGAGAGGCCCUUCGGCUGCUCCGACUGCGGCAAGAGCUUCAAGACGACACGUGAGCUGAAGAUGCACUGGCGGGCGCACACCGGCGAGGAGCCCUAUGGCUGCUCCACCUGUGGCAAGAGCUUGGCUUGGUUGUCGGGGCUGCGGGUGCCCCGUCGGGUGUCAGCAGUGGGUAGCCCUUCACUUGCUCCGACUGAUGCACAGGUGCCUGCACUGCACACCGGGGAGCACCCCUGCACCUGCACCCUGUGCGGCAAGGGCUAUAAGCUGCUGUCCCACCAGUAGGUGCACACCGGCGACCGUCCCUUUACCAGGCCCUUUGGCUGCUCCGACUGCGGCAAGAGCUUCAGGGCAGCGUAUGACCUGAAGGUCCACCGACGAGUGCACAUGGGUAGGAGCCCUUUGGCUACUCCACCUGCGGCAAGAGCUUUGCCCGGUUGUCGGGGUUGCGAGUGCACCGGCAGUGUGGAAGAUAAAUUAAUAUCUUUCCUUACUUCAUUUUAAUUGGAAUUGAACAAGGUAACGAAGGGUGUUUUGGAUGUGACAAUUGGAAGCUCUCGCUUGACCAGCUGCAGAAGAGGUUCGUGAGAAUCGGCAAAGUAAGAUUAGACGUAUUACCUCUUGUCUGCGAAUGUGUUGAAGGGUGGAUGGUAAAUGUAAACAUGAAAUAGUAGAGGAGAUAACAAAGCUUGUUGUUCCCCAUAAAAAUGUUACUGUAAAUGGGGGGCUCAUGAUUGGCUUGGAGAGGGGAUGGAGGCGUGGGCCACCUGAAAGGUGAGAUAGCAUAAUGUCAAGAUGCCCUUGUAUUGGGUUUGACGUAUUAAUCAUCUAAUGUUGAAUAAGAUUAACAUAAGCGACAAGUAUGUUAUGACUAAUGAAAUAAUUGGUACCCAUAUAGUUGAUAGAAUAUUUUUGUAGAUUAGUAUCUAACAAAAGUAAACAAAAGUUGUUAACUGCACAGUAUAACUGUAGGCUAAUUCUGCAGUGAAGUCAGAGAACAGGUGAGCAGUUUACUGCCACCAUCUCUCAUGAUAUCAUGCAAUAAAAUCUUUUGAAGCAAACUUGCAAAGUCUGUUAUUUUUUGUUUUCCUUUAAUCAGCCUUUAAAUUAAUUUCUUCCACAGAAUUCUUUCCAUGAGUAGUAUCUCUGCUCAAUAACCAAAGGUCUAUAGCCUCCUUUUGCUCAGGUAUUCUAUUUCAUUCACAUGUUUAAACUAUAAUGUUUUAUUAUUAAUGUUUUAUGUGUCAUUCUUAAUUUUUACUGUAUGACGUGUUGUUACUUGCGAGCAGAGCACCAAGGCAAAUUCCUUGUAUGUGCACAUACUUGGCCAAUAAACAUAUUCAUUCAUUCA